UUCAGACGAUGCGUCAUGCAUAUCAAUAAGCGGAGGAAAAGAAACUAACAAGGAUUCCCUCAGUAUCGGCGAGUGAAGCGGGAAGAGCUCAAAUUUGAGAUCUUGAAAGGUCACCUUUCACGAAUUGUAGUUUAAAGAAGUGUUUUCUGUUACGAUCGUAAUAUAAGUUCUUUGGAAUAGGACAUCAUAGAGGGUGAGAAUCCCGUAUAUUGACCAUUAUUUGUCAGCUUUGUGAUACACUUUCAAAGAGUCGGAUUGUUUGGGAAUGCAGCCCAAAACGGGAGGUAAGUUUCUUCUAAGGCUAAAUAUUGGCGAGAGACCGAUAGCGAACAAGUACCGUGAGGGAAAGAUGAAAAGAACUUUGAAAAGAGAGUUAAAUAGUACGUGAAAUUGUCAAAAGGGAAGCGUUUGACACCAGUGUUGUUUUCUCGAAAAUCAACUUAAAAUGGCUCGAUUUUGUAUUGCUGAGACCUUAAAAGCUCACUGUACAUUUUUCGUGUCUUUUUUAAGUGCACUUUUCAGUUUAACAAGGUCAACAUCAGUUUCUUUUGUUACGUAAAAAGGGUCAUUGGAAGGUAGGCUUUCUUUUCGGAGAAGUGUUUAUAGCCUUUGGCCUCUGCAAUCGGAGAGACUGAGGUCUGCAGCGUAGACUCUUCGGGUUAGAUACAUUUGUGCUAAGUUAUAGCAUUUUAUAGACAACUUGUUGACUAUAAUUAGUCUUGUAGCUUACUCGCUUAUGCUAUUAUACCUACGCUUAGGAUGUUGAAGACUCUACAGAGAUA
rnacentral:rRNA from 1 species